AGUGAACGCUGGCGGUAGGCCUAACACAUGCAAGUCGAACGGCAGCACAGUAAGCGUUUGCCUUUGCGGGUGGCGGGGGGCGGGGGGGUAAGGAAUAGAUCGGCUUCUUCUUUUUCUGGGGGAAUAACGUGGGAAAACUUACGCUAAUACAGAAUAUGUCCUACGGCAUAAAGCAGGAGUUCAUGGCGGUUUUGCUGUUGAAUUGAGCCGAUUCCGGGUCGCAUUAUCGAGUGGGUAAGGGCACAGCCCACCAAGGCUACGAUCCGUAGCUGGCCUGAGAGGAUGAUCAGCCACACUGGAACUGAGACACGGUCCAGACUCCUACGGGAGGCAGCAGUGGGGAAUCUUCGACAAUGGGCGCAAGCCUGAUCCAGCCAUACCGCGUGAGUGAUGAAGGCCUUCGGGUUGUAAAGCCCUUUUGUUAGGAAAGAAAAGCAGCAGGUGAAUAUCCCGAUGUCCUGACGGUACCCAAAGAAUAAGCACCGGCUAACUUCGUG
rnacentral:rRNA from 1 species